UACGUAGGGUGCAAGCGUUUAAUCGGAAUUACUGGGCGUAAAGCGUGCGCAGGCGGCUUUGCAAGACAGAUGUGAAAUCCCCGGGCUUAACCUGGGAACUGCAUUUGUGACUGCAUGGCUGGAGUGCGGCAGAGGGGGAUGGAAUUCCGGCGUGUAGCAGUGAAAUGCGUAGAGAUGUGGAGGAAUACCGAUGGCGAAGGCAGCCCCCUGGGAUAACACUGACGCUCAUGCACGAAGCGUGGGGAGCAAACAGG
rnacentral:rRNA from 1 species